CCUCCUCCGCCUGAUUCGUUCCCGGUCUCCGCGUCUCUCCCUUCCCCUGCCUCACCUUGCGCCGAAGAAACCCUAGCGGUGACGACGUCCCUCGCUCCUCUGCUCUCUUAUCCGUUUUUCUUGGGCGAUUCAUUGAUUUCCUUUCUGCUCGCGAUCGGUAGCUGCAUUCGCGGAUUUGGUCCAUCCAAUCGUUGCUGUUUAAUUCUACCUGGGCUUUCCCCCCAUGUACUGAUGGUGAUUUGUGUUGCAGUUCGUGUUUCUGUUCUCAUUUCUUUCCUCCCCUUCUUUUGCAUCGUAUUUUCAGGAUCGAGAAGUUAUUGAGCUAUUGAGGUGUUGAUUGCUUGUGGCGGACUCUAGAGAAUUUUGUUGGUGAUCUGGGGAACUGCUGGUCCGGUUAGGGCUGGCUUCAAUAAUCCAACCAUGGCUCCAGGAGAAGAAUACCGUGCUUUAAGUCAAAGGGGAGGACAAUGCUCUCAGUUCUCUACUAAGUUUCUGCUUGCCUCCCCUUCUUUCCACGGUGGUAGGGGUGCCCUACCUUCGGAUCUGACAUUCCUUUCGGGCGGUGGUGUCAAAGUUAGAUCCGGAUUUGCUUUUACAUUGAUCAUAGUUGGCGUAGUUAAGCAUUGGAGACUUAGAUAAGUAUGUUGUCAGCCAAACAGGUUGAAGGUGAGACGGCCACUCUGAAGCAGAUCAUGAGCUUCGAGGGGUCUAAAAGUCGUCAAUCGCCUCUAAUAGUUAAAAUAAUUGAAGUUGAUUUAUGGAGUUGUCACGAAAAUAGGAAUGCUAACUAAAAAAAUGCAGGCAUUAUCACAAAUAUAUAUCGGCUUGGUAUACUUGCAAAAGCUGAUGGCACUUGUGAGGACCUACAAUGCUCUGAGACAGAAGACAGAAUCUUCUGGACAUCAUCCUCCCCUCGCAGUGGGAGAAUCAUGCUUGGAAGGAUCAGUUUAAAUAUGAUGUUACCACUUGCCAAAUAAAGAUGGCUACUGGUGGAAAGCUCAUUACUGAAUUGAAUGAAAAUUGGUACUCAAAUAUCAUUGUCGAUGAGAACAAAAUGUUCCAGUCUGUGAGCCCCAACAGAGCAAGUUAUGUGAAACCUCACGGAGAAGAUCUUUUUUAUGUGUGUCAUGUGGAGAAAGGAAGGGCUCUGAGCUUGUUCAUUCAACUGCUGCCUAAAGAUGGAAUUUCAGUUGUCACAAUUAUGACUGAGCUCUUAGAUGAGAAGGUUCUCGGAUCAAUGACAUGAAUUGUUGCUGAGGGAUAUGGAUGAAGGGAUGAUCAAAACUGUGGAAUCAUUUCCAACUAUAUGUUGCUGUAGCUGUUGGCAAACAAUAUUUUGAUUGCAUUAUGUUUCUUUUUUUACUUUGUUGAGGAAAUUGGGUUGAGAAGCCUUAAAGGACUAAGAGAUAAAUUGACAGGUAGCUUUUCUGUGAGUACCAGAACAAACAUGGUUCGGGUCCCAGCAGCUCAUGUUGCAUCACGAUCCAGUGCACGAGCCUGUCAAGACUUCAAAGUGCUGCUGCAUGACUUGGCCCCACUCCUGAGAGUGAGAGAGAGAAAGGGCAGAGCAACAAUUGAACGCCAUCUGACUCCCCCUUCUCAAAGCCACAUCUCAACUCAGCACAUGGAUACUCUUCAGAUGCACUAACUUCUACAGCUUGGAUGGGGAGCUCCAGUAGCCUCCCAACUCUUUUUAAAGGCUUGCUUCUGAGAAUCCAAAGUCACUCUCAGCCAAAUAUGAAAAGGAGGAAUCUGCAAAACCAAGAAACCAUGCCAUCUCACACAUCAACUGGCUUUGGAUCAAAGAUUUAGAAUCGGACUCAGCUCAGACCUGAUGGAAACGCGAACUCACAUAUUUGCUUUCCAAGUGAGAAGUACUCUCUCUCCGAUUCACAUGCCAAAUCUGCACCAAAGCCUAACAUAGCGGCAGAAUGCGGUCAAGAAAGAAUGGGUCAGAAUUCCUUCCACCUGCCGUGGCCCCAUCCCCUGAUUAAAGAUGGACCCACGACACACACUCCCUUGCUUUCUACAUCCACUUCCCACUACCCACCUUCGUUUCCUCUUCUUCUGCAUCUUUGAUGAGAAAUGGGGUGUGGUUUUAUCGGGAUCCACCUCCAUUUAUUUAUUAAUA